AAUAAGUGCAGUUUUACACUGUUCAUGUUCGACGAUCGCCUUUUUUAUGAUUAGUAUUUUUAUUGUUAUUCGAUAAUAAAACAUGAAUAGUAUUUUAUAUGUGACUAAUAUUUUAUUUUUUUUCACAAAUUAUUUAAAUAAAACAAAAGGUCGAACGUUAAACACGGAUACCCACGACUGCACUUAUU
rnacentral:pre_miRNA from 1 species